ACUAAAUAGAUACCCGGGUAGUCCAGCUGUAAACGAUGCAGGCUAGGUGUUUGGACGGCCACGUGCCGUUCUAGUGCCGCAGGGAAGCUGUUAAGCCUGCCGCCUGGGGAGUACGAUCGCAAGAUUGAAACUUAAAGGAAUUGGCGGGGGAGCACCACAAGGGGUGAAGCUUGCGGUUUAAUUGGAGUCAACGCCGGAAAUCUCACCGGGAGCGACAGCAGUGUGAAAGCCAGAUUAAAGGUCUUGCUAGACGAGCUGAGAGGAGGUGCAUGGCCGUCGCCAGUUCGUGCCGUGAGGUGUCCUGUUAAGUCAGGCAACGAUCGAGACCCGCAUCCUCUGUUGCAACCAGCUUUGUGCUGGGCACACUGAGGAGACCGCCACUGAUAAAGUGGAGGAAGGAGCGGGCCACGGCAGGUCAGUAUGCCCCGAAUCUCCGGGCCACACGCGAGCUGCAAUGGCAGGUACAAUGGGUUCCGACCUCGAAAGGGGGAGGCAAUCUCGAAAGCCUGCCGUAGUUGGGAUCGA
rnacentral:rRNA from 1 species